rnacentral:tRNA from 1 species
GUAGGUAUAGCUUAGUGGUAGAGCAAUUGGUUGUAGUCAGAUGUAGUCGAUGGGUCAUUAGUUUAAUUCCAGUUGCCUCCU